rnacentral:rRNA from 1 species
UACGUAGGUGGCAAGCGUUGUCCGGAUUUACUGGGCGUAAAGCGUGCGCAGGCGGCGCCGCAAGUCAGGCGUGAAAUCCCCGAGCUUAACUUGGGAAUGGCGCUUGAAACUACGGUGCUGGAGUGUGGCAGAGGGAGGUGGAAUUCCACGUGUAGCGGUGAAAUGCGUAGAGAUGUGGAGGAACACCGAUGGCGAAGGCAGCCUCCUGGGCCAACACUGACGCUCAUGCACGAAAGCGUGGGGAGCAAACAGG